ensembl:rRNA 5S_rRNA 5S ribosomal RNA
GCUUACGGCCACACCGCCUGGUUCACGCACGAUCUCGUUUGAUCUCGGAAGAUAAGAUAGGGUGGGCCUGGUUAGUACUUGGAUGGGAGACCGCCUGGGAAUACCAGGUGCUGUAAGCU